rnacentral:rRNA from 1 species
CAAGCUUGACAUAUACGAGAACGGGCCAGAAAUGGUCAACUCUUUGGACACUCGUAAACAGGUGGUGCAUGGUUGUCGUCAGCUCGUGUCGUGAGAUGUUGGGUUAAGUCCCGCAACGAGCGCAACCCUCGUUCUAUGUUGCCAGCACGUAAUGGUGGGAACUCAUGGGAUACUGCCGGGGUCAACUCGGAGGAAGGUGGGGAUGACGUCAAAUCAUCAUGCCCCUUAUGUCUUGGGCUUCACGCAUGCUACAAUGGCCGGUACAAAGGGCUGCAAUACCGCGAGGUGGAGCGAAUCCCAAAAAGCCGGUCCCAGUUCGGAUUGAGGUCUGCAACUCGACCUCAUGAAGUCGGAGUCGCUAGUAAUCGCAGAUCAGCAACGCUGCGGUGAAUACGUUCCC